AUUGGACAAUGGGCGAAAGCCUGAUCCAGCCAUGCCGCAUGAGUGAAGGAAGGCNUUGGGUUGUAAAGCUUUUUCAGUGAGGAAGAUGAUGACGGUACUCACAGAAAGAAGUCUCCGGGCCUAAUAAANANGU
rnacentral:rRNA from 1 species